rnacentral:rRNA from 1 species
UACGUAGGGUGCAAGCGUUGAUCGGAAUUACUGGGCGUAAAGCGUGCGCAGGCGGUGAUGUAAGACAGAUGUGAAAUCCCCGGGCUCAACCUGGGAACUGCAUUUGUGACUGCAUAGCUUGAGUGCGGCAGAGGGGGAUGGAAUUCCGCGUGUAGCAGUGAAAUGCGUAGAUAUGCGGAGGAACACCGAUGGCGAAGGCAAUCCCCUGGGCCUGCACUGACGCUCAUGCACGAAAGCGUGGGGAGCAAACAGG